AUUGAACGCUGGCGGCAUGCUUUACACAUGCAAGUCGAACGGCAGCGCGGGGCAACCUGGCGGCGAGUGGCGAACGGGUGAGUAAUAUAUCGGAACGUACCCAGAAGUGGGGGAUAACGUAGCGAAAGUUACGCUAAUACCGCAUACGAUCUACGGAUGAAAGUAGGGGACCGCAAGGCCUUAUGCUUUUGGAGCGGCCGAUAUCUGAUUAGCUAGUUGGUGAGGUAAAGGCUCACCAAGGCGACGAUCAGUAGCUGGUCUGAGAGGACGACCAGCCACACUGGAACUGAGACACGGUCCAGACUCCUACGGGAGGCAGCAGUGGGGAAUUUUGGACAAUGGGCGCAAGCCUGAUCCAGCAAUGCCGCGUGAGUGAAAAAGGCCUUCGGGUUGUAAAGCUCUUUUGUCAGGGAAGAAACGGUAGAGGCUAAUAUCCUUUGCUAAUGACGGUACCUGAAGAAUAAGCACCGGCUAACUACGUG
rnacentral:rRNA from 1 species